AUUUAAAUUCCAAGUUUUAAUCCUAGCCUUUGAUUGAAAUAAAAGAGAGGUUUAGUGCAGAAAAGUGAGGAAUUUGAUAAAAAGUUAGCAGGGUAGAAAGCCACCAUUUUUUGUUUCAUUUUUCUUCUUAAUUUCCACCUUAUUUCUCACCCAUUUUGAUUAAUCCAUCCAUCAAAACUUCAUCCACAUGUCGGAGCUUAGUUUGAAGAAAAAGUGGAAGAAAAGGUUAGGGUUAUGAGAUGAAUAAUGACCAAGUAGAGAGAAAAUGGAGGGAAGGGUUAAUUGUCCAUGCAUGUUAUCAUUUUAGCUCUAGAAUAUCAUUUUGUGUGUGUGUGUGUGUGUGUUAAAUUGAGUUGAUUGUGAAUAUUUUGAAAUAUUGAAGAGAAAGAAGAACGAGAAAGGAAAAAGGUAAAGUUGGAAGCUUGGAGAAGGAAUUUUAGAGACUUUUUGAGCUAUUUUAAGUUGAAGUUUGGGUAUGUAAUCUAUGAUUUCCAUUUUCUUAAAAUAAUAUUGAAAUCUUUUUGUGUUCAAUUAAUUGCUUGGGAAAUAUUUAUGGAUUAUUAAUUUUAUAGGUUACCAUGGAAAUGAAUAAUAGCUUAAGUUGUGUUUAUGGAGUGAUUUUUGAAUAAUACAUUAUGUUAUGUGGUGUUUCUAAAGUAUAAGGGUCUUAGAAAUGUGAUUGAUCAUGAUAGUUUGAUUGAACAUUAUGUAUGAAUUAUUUAUGUUUGGAUUAAGGUGUUAAUUAUAUAAACCUUGAAAACAAUUAUGGUUUUGAGAACAUUGAAUAAAUGAAUGAAUUAAUAAAGCUUAAGAUUAAUGUUUUGAUUCUCUAGAAAUUACUAUGGAUUCUCUUGUAUAUCCAAUGUGGUACACUUUACUUGGGAUCAUCGACGAUCCAGGUAAGGGAUGUUGGUAUAAGAAAACUUGGGUUAAUUGUAUAUGCCAAAUUAUGUUAUAAGUACAUGAUCCACUCUUUUGUCAAUUCUAGGUUGAAAGAUGUCAGCAGACUCUUGUAGGGCUGUAAAUGGCGAAGUAAAGAAUCAUGCACCGGUUGGAGCAGAAGAUAGAGGUCCUGAUCAGGCACAACAACAGGCCCCUACUAGCACUAUUGGGUCAGGUCAAGAGGCUUUUUUCCAGUCUAUGGCUAAUAUGAUUAGGCAGUUAAUUGGGGCUAUACCACAGGCACCUUCGGCUCCAGUAAGCUAUGGGUCUCCUCUUGAGAAAAUUCGCAAAUAUGGUGCAGAAGAUUUCAAAGGGAAGGAAGACAAUGGUCCCUCGGCAGCUGAGUAUUGGUUAGAGAACGCGUAAAGGAUUCUGCAGCAGCUACACUGCACACCUGAGGAAAAAUUAGAGUGUGCUGUAUCCUUACUUAAGGAGGAGGCUUACCAAUGGUGGGAUACUGUAUCCCAUAUAGUUCAACCCUCAUAGUUGACUUGGAAGUACUUCCUAGCGGAAUUUCAAAAGAAAUACAUCAAUGAGAUCUAUCUGGAGGAACGAAAGAGAGAAUUUUUGUAUCUUGAGCGGAAUAGCAUGACUGUUGCAGAGUACUGAGAGGGAAUUUGUACGAUGCUAAGGAGUUUGUGUCUACGGAAGCUGAUAUGUGUGCUCGGUUUGAGCGUGGUCUUAAUGAUGGGAUUAGGGUAUGCCUAAUAACUCUAAAGAUUCAGGAGUUCUCUACUUUAGUCGAGCGAGCUUUGAAAGUAGAACAAGUCAUGAAUGAAGAGCAGAAAAAGAACGAUAGAAGUCUGAUGAAAAGAAGUCAGGGACAAACUAGCUCUGUAUCAUUCUCACCUAUGAAAAAGGCUAGGGAUUCUCGAGGUACGAUAUAUUAAACACCAAUUCGCACUCAGAGAUAUGAUCAGAGACCAAGUUUGGGUUCGACAGUUACGCCGGGGGAGCAAGCAACAUCUGUAGCUAGUAAAGGAGGAUCGAGGAGAAGAUCAUUUCUCCCCGUCUGUGAGCACUGUUUUAAAUGUGGCUCUAAGGAUCACAUCCUUAGAGAUUGUCCUAAGAAGACAGUUUCUGAAUAAACUAGCAAUGUAAAUCAAAACUUUUUAUUUUUUAUUUAAUUUCUUUCUAAAUAUGUACUAAUUAUAAAAUAUUAAAUUGGCUUCUAUAUUUAAUCAAAGGCCACAUAGAGUUUAUCGAAACACACCAUAUGACAGUUUAUACUAUGUCAAUGAUGAUAUUGGUAUUCAUUAGAUUAAAAAUUUUAAAAAUAUAUAUAAUAAAUGCUGUAAUAUAAAAUAUUAUUUAAUAAUAAAAACAUAUACUAAUAUAAUUUUUUUAUUUUUCAAUAUUAAAUAAAUAGUUUGAAUUUCAUGAAUUAGUUCGAACCAAAAAUAAAUAUGAACAAAUAAAUUAAAAAACUUUUAAAUUCCAUCAAUUACAGAGAUAUCCAAUACCUAGUCGAGUCGUAGUUUGAUUUCAAAAAAAAAAAAAAAAAAACCUAAGCUUAUUUUUUAGUUGACUCAAUUUAUUAACUCAUUUUAUUGUUCACAUAUCAAUAAUAUGUUUUUUUUAUUAAUAUUGGUAUAUUUAAAUUUAAAUUUAAGUCGAAUUAAACUAAUUUAAAAUAUGAAAAUCUUUAAUCUAAGUUAGGUUGAGCAAAGAAAUCGAGAAAUCGAUUCGAAUCGAUGUAUUUGGUUUGAUUCUAGCUUUGUGAUAUUCGGUUCAAUUUCAGGUUGAUUUUAUCACCCAAAUUCUACAAUUCGGUUCGAGUUCAAUUUUUCUACAUGGAACUUGUUUUAUCCAAAUCAAAUCGAAUGAAAAAAAAUCUAUAGUUAAAGAAAUAGUCCUAAUAGAAUAAUAAAUUGAUCAUUUCAAUGUCUAUAUGGACUAAUUCAUUUAACUGUAUUAUUAUUAUUAUUAUUAUUAUUAUUAAAAACUAGAUAUGAUCAUAGAAAAAUUUAAAGUUAUAGAAAUAUUUCACAAAAAAGUUAUGAAAGUGUAAUUUCUUAAAUAUAAUAAUUAUAAUUAUAAGUAUAAUUAUAAUUUUUUAAAAAUAGUUUAUUAAAUUUUAUAACAUUUUAUUUAUAAAAUAAAUAAUUAUACACAAAUUACUAAUUAUAUAUAUUUGAUAAUUAUGAAUUUAAUCAAUUAUAUUGACAUAUUGUAAUGACUCGAUUUUUUAAGUAUGGAAUGACUCAAUUAUAACUAAUUAAAGUUAGUAACCAAUUAAAAGAAAUGACACAACAAAACAUUAGGUAGAUGAAUGAUUUAUGUAUUAAUUUUUCUUUUAAUAACUUAAAAUUAUUUAUAAACUUAAUAGCUUAACUUAAAAUAAUUUUUAAGUGAUCUUACGGAUGAUUAUAAUAUUAAUUUAAUUAUUUAUAAAUGUAUAAAUGAAUCUAAAGCAUGUGUUAUAAUUGCUAUAAAAAAAAGACCCAAAAUAAAGUGACAUUUUUUUUGACAAAGCUGGAUCAAACCAAACUGCAAUUUUCAAUUUCGGAUACUUCAAUUUUUAUUUCAUACUAAUUUGAUUUCAGUUUCAAAAAUUAAAACCGAAUAAAAUGAUUUGAUUUAAUUUUUAUUUUAAAAACCAAAUCGAACCGAAUAUACUUGUGAAAGUUUUAUUUAACUCGCGUGGGGUUUAAAAGCGUGGGAUUGCUUGCAUCAUAUGUGACGGAAUGCUUGUGUAAGCAGCCACCACCAGUAGCAUUGUGACACGAAGACAACAAAUCAUAGUGGAAAAAGCUAAUAAAUUUGUCUCCAAAAGCCUAAAGGGGAGAACUGAGGGCCUAAAGGGAUGUAAAAACAUUGCUUCAUACUGUCUCUUACCCCACCAAAGCCUUACACAGUGCUCUUUGGGCUCCACCCUCACCCUCCCACGUGACCAUCUCAAACCCAAAAAAUUUUACCACUCAUUUUCUUUUCCUUCUCAAAGUGCACACAUUUUCCAUGCUAUUUAUCUCAACUGUCGACACAUGAAAACUAUAGGAACAAAAAAUAUUAUGAAAAUCAUUGUAUUUAAAAGUUAAAUUAUAUUUUAUUUUAUUUUUCAAAAAAAUAGAUAAAUUAAUCUUAUACUUAUCUCUAUUAAAUAUUUCAUCUAUUUUUAUUAUUAAAAUCUAAUCUUUAUACGCCAGCAUAUAUAAUUGAUUAUUUUAUUAAUCACGACAAUUUUUUAAUAAUAAAAUUUUUUAUCUAUUUCUGCAUAAAAGAGAUAUUUAUAACACUUUUACCAUUGAGUUGAAUUAAAUUUUAUAAUUAAUAAAAACAUUAAAAUAAUUUUAUUUUUUUUUCAUUUAAAAAUUCAAUUGUACUCUACACGUCCAACACAUUGUCUUCUGAGGAAAUAAGAGAUGUUUUCCCAACAUAAUAUGUGGCUGUCCUCGGGGGAUGUUCCGGUCCACGCACUAUCCUCAGACAAGUCCACUUACUUGGAAAUGUAAUUGCAGACGAUAUUUUUCCAUGUUUUUCUUUCCUUUUCUUUUGGAUUCGGUGCUAAAAUUAGCAAAAUUCCAGAAAUUAUAUACUACCCACAAAUAUAUAUAUAUGUAGAAUACUUGCUAUAAUAAUAUUCCAUUUUUCCCUACAAACACAUAUUAAUGCCAUGAUUCUACAUUUGGAUUUAAUAAAAAGCUUUCUUUUUUCUUUUUAUAUAAAUGGAAUUAAUUAACCCUAAAGGAUAUAUCUCAGAGGGGGGCAUCUAAUCUGGCAAGCUAAUUUCAUCCAGAUCAUCCAAUGAUAGAAACACUUCAUCCAAGCACGACAGCUCUGUUCCAUCAUCUUCUUCUUCACUACAAUUUCUUUCAUAUACUCGACAAACCACCCAUUUGCUAUAAUCCUAUAACAUAGGUCAAUAAAGCAAUAAUAUUUAAUAAAAAAAAUACAGCACUAAUAUUUAAUAAUCACAAUGCUUAAUUACGAAUCACCGGAUCUAAAAUAAAUCAUAAAAUUUUAUAUCUUGUCAAAAAUAAAAUGUAUAUAUCAAAUUCAUCUCAUUUUAUUUAAAAAAGUGUCGCAUAUCAUAAUAUUACUAGUUGAUAUCAUGUUUUAAAGUGAAAUAAGACGAAAUUAAUGUACCAUUUUUACUUAAAAAAAACUUGAUACUAGGUGAGAAAAGUGAUAUAAAUUUAGUCCAUUGCUUUUAAUUUCAACAUUUUAAUCUAUUUUUUUAUAAUUAAAGUUCAAUUGAUAACAUUGUCAAUGUAUUUGAUUACGUAUCAUUUUCAAAAUUAAAAAAAAAUUGCUCAUGUGGCGAAUUUAACAAUCCCGAUUUUCCACAUGUGAAUAUUAGCCACGCAAGUAAAUUUUUUGGUUUAAAAAAUGCCACAUUAAAAGAUGUACAUUUUAGCAACGUUAUCAAUCAAACUUUAAUCCUUAAAUAAAGAAAAUAGAGGGACUAAAUUUAAACAUGCAAAGAGUAGAGGAUCCAUGAGAAAAAUUAAACCAACGAAUGAGUGCAGGGUACUAACAAUUUUGGAAUGUCCUCCUCUACGUUUGGAUGAUCGACUACUGGAGCUGGAAUCAGAAUCUGAGAGACGAUAUUCUUGCAUUAUCCAAUUGGUUUUGACACCGGCGGGAACCGAUUCCUCAAUGUAGAAAACGAAGUAUUUUUUCAUCCCAACUUUCUUGCUGCUAUUGCUAUUAACCACAGGCUCAUCUAUUCCCAUUGGCUUCCAGUACCCUUUGCUGGUGUUCCUGUUUUGCGUCCUCCUGCUGUAGUAGUACCACUGGUUCCCCUCUCCCAAUGCUUUACCUACGUUUCAUUUCCACCAUAUUUGUUAGAGGAACAAAAGGAAGGUAAUGUGUAUAUAUAUAUAUAUAUAUAGAGAGAGAGAGAGAGAGAGAGAGAGAGAGAUAAUACCAUCAAGUUCCCAGGGAUCAUAUGGAUAGAGGUCAAGAUCAGGGAUGACAUCAGGGUGGCAAGGCAAGAGGGCGGCCUUACGUUGAAGGAAAUGAACCACUAGCUCUUCAUCUGUUGGAUAGAAUCUGAACCCCGGUGGCAGAUUAACAUUGCGAUUAUCUCCCAUAUCUCUACAAACAACACGAAGAAGAUGAAGGGAAGAAUAGUGAAGAAGAAGGAUUUGUAGUGGGGUGAUAUUUAUAGUGUAGGUGAGGAUUAACUAUUAAAGAGAGAGAGAGAGAGGGGAGGAAUGCAGAUUAAAACAAAUGAAAGAGAAGAAGAGAGAAAGUGACGUGAAAAGGAAGGUGGGCUUCAUCAUAAAUCACGAAUGAGCAAGUUUAUGAUUUAUUUAGGUGCUCUCUCUCUCUCUCUCUCUCUCUCAACUCUUAAGCUUUCUCCCAUGGCGGCGGCUAACGGAACGCUGUGUAAACUUCCAAGUAACGAUAUCUGCUAUGUUAGCGAUAAGAUAGGCAUCCAAAUGGAACCGAAUCAAACAUAUUUUAUUUCAUACGUGGCAGAUUUUGCUUCUAAACAUAUACAACUCACACGCCAGACAUGCGCACACAUGUUAUAUUACUACACAUAGGCUAAAUUUAUACAUUAAUUUCGUGUUUUUCGUAUUGAUUUGUAACAUUAAUUGAAUCGGAGAAGAGAUGAAUGGUAUAGACAAAUUGAGGAAAUGCGGUGGGGGCAUCAUCAUACUUCAUGCUUAUAUCACGCAUCUGCUAUCAUACACGUGGCAUACAUGAAAAUGGGUUUGGUCGUGGACCAUAAAUAAAAACAUUAGUGGACCCACAACUUGGUUUAGGAGUGUGGCUAUGUACCAAUAAUAAUAAUUAACAUACAAGUAAAUGACUCCUUUGGCAUGCCUUUAUUUUAUUCUUCUUCUUAUGCAUCUCUCCGACAACCCAAGAAAACAGCAAUCAAUUGUUUAAGAACACAAAAAAUAAAUGAUUAAAAUUUUAAAAAAAGAGAGCAUCAAAUGUAAACAGCAAUCAACCAAUUCCUUAGGAAGGGAGUGAGUUGAACUGAUAUUGUAUGGGGUCAGAAAUAUAUAGUUAUAAAUUAAUAAUUAACCAAUUAUUAAAUCUUAGAAAAUAAAACAAGCUGAAGAAAUGAGGUGAGAAAUGGAGCUACCUUUGCUUAUAUGUUACUUUUCCCAAUUCCAUGUGAAAACUUUGAGACAAGUACUUAUUAUUAUGCAUCCAUCACCCCCCCCCCACUUGAGGAAGAGCAAAAAGAGUUGGGUUUUUGCACCAAAUUAACACUCAUUUUUUCUACCUCAUUCUGACUAAGAGAGUUGACUAAACAAAAACCAUUACAAGUAUUGACCUAAAGUCCAAAGUGAAUGUUUGCUUUUUAUGGCAAAAAUUCUUUUAGGAUAUAUAUUCUAAAAUUAAAAGAAGAUAUCAAGAAGACUAUUUAUACCCUUACUCAGAGAUGAAAUGUUAUUUUCAUAUCUGUAGAAAAUUUUUCAGUAGAAAUACCACUUGUAGAAAAUCAUAAGUUUAUAUGCGAUGAAAACUUUACACCAACAAGAAAAGAACAAAUUAAACAACUAGAAACAAAUCAUUGGUUGUUUAAAAUUCUUGAAAAUAAUUUUAGUAAAGAACCAUUAAAAUUAUGGAAAAACAGUCCCCGAUACUGUGAAAUAAAAUUGAUAAAUCCUAAAUAAAAUCAUUAGGGUUAAACCUAUAAUCUAUACUAAACAAGAUAUAGAUGAAUUUGAUGUUCAAAUAAAUGAACUAUUAGAAAAAGGAUUAAUAGAAAAAACUAAUAGUCCCUCAUUUUUAUGGCAAAAAUUCUUUUAGAAUAUAUAUUCUUAUCCCUCAUUUUUCCACUAAAAUGAUCAUAAAAUGACUAAAUGUGAUGUAUAAUUUUAUAUUUAAUAAUACGGUGAUGUAGUUAAUAUCUUUAAAAGUAAAAAUUAGGUAAAUAAAUAUGAUAAUGAAUAAAAAUAAGUUUGAAAAAAUAUUUAAAAUUAUUUAAAUUUCACUCUUCGUUAUCUCUCGUUACACCGAAAUCAUCAAUUAUUUAAUCUACAUUAAAAUUUUCCACAAUUUCUUUCUCAAUUUAGACAACUAAAGAAUUUUUCAAAAAAUCAUCUUCCAUCUUAGUACAAAAUUUAGUCUUCACAAUCUUCAUAGCUGAAAAAACAUGUUCUAUAGAUGCAAUUGAUACUGAAAGAGUCAAUAUAAGAUGAAUCAACUUAUCAACAAGUGGAUAGCUAACCUCAACUAAUUUUUUACAAAGAUCAAAAAGUGUUAAUAUUUUUCUCAAUUCAGGAUGUUGACAAGCAUCGAGCUCAUAAUGUUUUAACUCAUACGAAAGACGUUCUUUCUCUUGUUGAGAAAAAUCUGUUGGAUAGAACUUGUUUACAAGAGCACAAAUUUUCUCAAUGCCGAAAAACUUGAAGAACUCUUUAGGAUCUAAAAUUGUAGUUUUAUUAAAUCUACUGUUCAAUUCUAGCAACUGAGUAUCUAUUAUAGCAAAAUAUAUAUCCACUCAAUGAUGAUGCUCCACCGUAAUGUCUUCCUUCUUGCUACGACUACGACCUACGAUGUAUCGAGCAUUCGUAUCUGGAACUUCUAACUCCCAAGUUUCACAAAAAGAUAUUACAUUGUUCAACAAUUCAUCCCAUUCAUCUUCUUUCAACUUUUGAAUUAAAUCUUUUGUUGUUGAGACUAGACUCAAGACAUUUAGUAUAUCUUGAGAAUGACGUUGUAAAGCUUGACAAAGAAUAUCAGUAAUCUCCAUAACUUUUUUCAUCACUUGCAAAAUAAAAAUAACCUCAAAAGAUCUCAAUCUAUGAUAUGCACUAUGAGAUCUCAUCACUAAGAAAAAUUAGAGGCCGUAUUUUUAAGAUUUUCAAGAACUAUGCUAGUUAUAUUAUACAUCGUCAAUAAACUAGUAAUUAAGUUCAAGUGAAACUCUAUCGAGUCUCAUUAGAACAUUGUAAAAUGCCAAUUUGAUUCAUACCUAUUCCAAUUUUUAACUCAUUUAUGGAAACCAUACAAGCAAUUUCAUUUGCUUGGGCUUUCUACAAUUCAUCAUGAUGUUUGGAAGAAGUAGAAGUCAUAUUAAUAAUAUCAGACAAGUCUUUGAAAAAUUUAUGCACUUUAGGCACUUCUCUAGCUGCUACAUCCAAUGUUAACUGAAGACGAUGAACAAAACAAUGAACAUAAUAAGCAUAUUGACACUCAUUCAAAAUCAAAACUUGAAAACCAUUCAAUUCCCUACGCAUAUUGCUUGCUCCAUCAUAUUCUUGACCUUGGAGAUUUUGUAUGUCAAAGCCAUGUUGCAAGAGAACAUUAAAAAUCUCAUUCUUCAAAGUUAAUGAUGUUAUAUCUUUAACAUGGACAAUGUCAAAAAAUAGCUUUUUUUUUAUCAAUCCUUUCUAGUUAACAAAUCUUAAAACAAUUGCCAUUUGCUCCCUUUUUGACUCAUCUCUUGCUUCGUUUGCAAUAAUACAAAAUUUUUGGUCACCAAUUUCUUCACGAAUUGCGUCACCAACUCUACUAGCAUAAAUUUGUAUUAUUUCCUUUUGUAUUGUUGAAGAAGUAUAUGUAGCAUUUUGUGGAGAAACUUUUAAGACAUCUUCAACUUUCUCAUCAUAAGAUGCUAAAAGGGUUAGCAAUUCAAGGAAGUUUCUACAAUUUUUUUAUCCUAAGCUUUCAUCACAACCUCUAAAGGCAUAUUCCUAAAACGUCAACCAUCAAACAACAUCUACACUAGCUUUAAGACGUAGACGAUUAGUUGCAAUUUGUUGUGUUGUUUGCCUAUCAAGUGAUGCUUUAAUAUGUUGAGCUUGAUUCGUUAAAUCAACCUAAAUUCUUUGUGCAUUGUAAUGAGGUGAACUUAGAUCUUUUCUGACAUAUUGCGUCCUUUAUGUACGUUUUUUUCAAUUACUAAAACCAUUAUAAGUAAAUGCUAAUUUAACCAAACAAUAAAACUACAUCUACAAAACUUGGAGAAAAAUAAAUAAUUAUAUUUACACCGAUGCCAAUCAAUUUUAAUGAAACUACUUAAUGAAAUAUUUUUAGUUUUACUCUUUAAAUCUCUAUUUUCCAUAAAUAUUAAGCUUUUAAGGUGUAGGGCUCAAAAAUAAUUUAAUUUAUUAAAUUUUAAUUAUUAAGAUUUAGUGCUGGUUCUUAAAAAAAAAGUGUUGUGGUAAAAAAAAACUUAAAUUUGAGGUGCCUCAGUUUCGUUUCUGGGUAAAAUUAAAUAAUUUUUUGAGAGUCGAAAUUAAAUUAUAAUUUUUUUACAAGAGUUUAAAUAUAUUUAUUUUAAAAGUAAUUUACAUAAAUAGUCAUUUAAUUAUCAAUUUUUUUUAUUUUAGGCCUCAAAAAGGAUUACAAUUUAAACACCCACGUUACAUAGUUCGGUCAUUUUGGUUAUUCCCGUUAAAAUCAUAAAUGGCAAUAUGACAUGAGAAUUAAAAAAAUCAGUAUAAUAACAAAUAUAACCCUCAAUUUUUACCUAUUAUAUCGAUGUAGUUAUAAUUUUAAAAAGUUAACUCUCAAAAUUUACAAAUGUUCUCAAUUUAACCCAAAUUUAAGGUUGGAUUCCCAUCCGAUGGCUUAUCGGUCAUUACAAACAAAUGUUGGUGGGGGAGGGGAGAGGGACUGGGGUGGAGGAUUUUAAAAUUAGGAUCAAAUUGAGAACAUUUGUAAAAUUUGAGGGCCAAAUUUUUAAAAUUAUAACUAAAUCGAUAUAAUAUGUAAAAGUUGAGAGCUAAAUUUCUUAUUAUAUAGAUUUUUUAACUACCACGUCAACUUACCUUUUGUGAUUUUAAUGGGAGUGACCAAAAUAACCGAACUAUAUAAAGUGAGUGUUUAAAUUACAAACUUUUUAUUUUUGGUGCAUAAAAUGAAUUUUUUUAUAUAGUUAAAUGACUAUUUGUAUAGUUUAUUUUUUUUAAAUUGUAAACUUCUAACUUUAUAAUGUUUUUAAAACAAUUAAAUUACAAUUUUAUUAUUUUAGACUAUAAGAUACAUAAUUUUAUCGUAUAUUAACAUAUAUUUUUUUUCAAAUUUUGGAGAGAUUAAAGCAUAACCUUUUACAUUUCAGAGAGCAAUUGCUCUGUAGCUUCCCCUUGCUUAAGUCUUAUUUGAACUAUUUCUUUAAGUAAGGAAAAUAUUACUAAUUCUUAGUGACAUUAAUUAGGCCAUAUCUAAAUCUGUAUCUAUACCUAUACCUAUAUCUAUAUCUAUAUAUAUUAAAAUAAGUAUAAUUUAUCAACGCAUCACUUGUGCUAGAAUUGAAUAAAAAUGCUGGGAAGGUUAUACCAAAUAUAUUUUUAUUUAUAAUCUCUUCAAACCCUAAAAUAAAUAUAUAUGUAUAAAUAUAUCAGAAUCUACGUUGUUAUUAUUAUUAUAAUAAUCGUGAUAAUAUUAAUUAAAUUAAAACACAAUCAAUAUAAAAUAUCUUUAAAAUAUAAAAAUAUAUAUUUAUAUGUUGAGGGUAGAUUGUAAGAGGAGAUUGAUACCAUUUUUGUGGGGGAUAUAAUGAGACAAGGACUGAGGAGUUGAAGUAAGGAGAAAG
rnacentral:lncRNA from 1 species